CUGCAGCAGCUAACAUCCCAGAACAAACUGCCCUCAGAAAUGCUUACUCAGCUCUCGGAGUAAUUCAGCUACGAGUGGGAGUUCUCACCUUUGGCAAAUGGAAGCUUCCUUACGCUUCCAUUUUGCACCAGAGUAUACACCUCCUGGUAUCAAGUACACCAUACACCAGAUCACCUGAUGUACUGCAAUCGGUGUUUAUAAGGAAAGGGCAGCUAAAGGUUUGGCAGAAGACUUGCAUGCUGUCUUCAAGUUCGUUUUUCAGAAUUCACAUAUAUUCAACAUCAAACAGGUUAAGGAAGAGGUAACUUGUUUAAUUCUACCACGCUAAACUAGCCAAGCACUCUUAUUGUGAGGUGGCUUUCUGCCUCUAGUCAUCCCAAAACCCUUCUCUAGG